UACGUAGGGGGCAAGCGUUGUCCGGAUUUACUGGGCGUAAAGAGCGCGUAGGUGGAAGCGCCAGUCCGGCCUGAAAGCCCCCGGCUCAACCGGGGAGAGUGGCUGGAAACUGCGUUUCUUGAGGGCGAGAGAGGAGGGUGGAAUUCCUGGUGUAGCGGUGAAAUGCGCAGAUAUCAGGAGGAACACCGGUGGCGAAGGCGGGUCUCUGGGCCGAUACUGACGCUGAGGAGCGAAAGCGUGGGGAGCAAACAGG
rnacentral:rRNA from 1 species